rnacentral:rRNA from 1 species
CCCUUAGAUGUCCUGGGCCGCACGCGCGCUACACUGAGUGUCUGAGAUACGAGUCUGCCUGGUCCGGCAAGGUCUAGGUAAUCGCUAAAAGACACAUCAUGCUUGGGAUAGAUUAUUGCAAAUAUUAAUCUUGAACGAGGAAUUCCUAGUAAGCGCAAGUCAACAGCUUGCGUUGAUUACGUCCCUGCCCUUUGUACACACCGCCCGUCGCUACUACUGAUUGGGUGAUCCGGUGAGCUGUUCGGCCAUAGCAAUGUUUCUUGAGCAGGGCAAUGAAUGUUUCGCAAACCUUGCCACUUAGAGGAAGGAGAAGUCGUAACA